rnacentral:rRNA from 1 species
UACGUAGGGUGCGAGCGUUGUCCGGAAUUACUGGGCGUAAAGAGCUCGUAGGCGGUUUGUUGCGUCGGCUGUGAAAUCCCGAGGCCCAACCUCGGGUCUGCAGUCGAUACGAGCAAACUAGAGUGUUGCAGGGGAGACUGGAAUUCCUGGUGUAGCGGUGGAAUGCGCAGAUAUCAGGAGGAACACCGAUGGCGAAGGCAGGUCACUGGGCCGCAACUGACGCUGGAGGAGCGGAAAAGCAUGGGGAGCGAAACAGG